rnacentral:lncRNA from 1 species
CAUCAUGGUGAUUGUAUAAAAUAUACUAAAUACUGUGUUUCAUACAUCAUACCACACUACCACAGAACUACAGACUUGUGUCGCCCUUCGAGACUGUUACCCAAUUACAGAGGUCAAUUUCAUUUUUCUGCGGCCUGCGAGAAAUACGAAUUCACAAUGGCAGAUGAAAAAUUAAGUCGCAAGAUGAUUUUCCCAUACACAUUUACAUCUAAGGUUGCCCAGUUUCCGUUCAAAUUACAUUUCAAUAAUCAUUGGAUGUUUCCAUGGUUCAUUGGAGCAGCUGUAAUGGUUUCACCAGUAUUUUAUUUAAUGCAGAAAGCGGCCAACUGUGAAGCUAAUGUUAAGAUUUGGGCUGAAAAAAGAAGGAAGGAAGAAGAACACCACAAACACAAGUGGGAUUGAACAAGAUUCUGAGAAGCAGCGUAGAAAAUAAAAACAAAACAACUGUCAUUCAAUAUUAAAAUUUAAUUUCUAAUAGUGUUACUGCGAAUUUUAUAAAAGUAUUUAAAAUAAUUAUAAUGUAAUAUACAUCAUAGUUCAGGUUACAUUUUCCUUGA